rnacentral:rRNA from 1 species
AGCAGCCGCGGUAAUUCCAGCUCCAAUAGCGUAUAUUAAAGUUGUUGCAGUUAAAAAGCUCGUAGUUGAAUUUCGGGGUUAGUAGAUUGGUCAUGCCUCUGGUAUGCACUGGUCUUACUGAUUCCUCCUUCCUGAUGAACCGUAAUGCCAUUAAUUUGGUGUUGCGGGGAAACUGGACUGUUACUUUGAAAAAUUGAGUGUUUAAAGCAGGCUAACGCUUGAAUACAUUAGCAUGGAAUAAUGAAAUAGGACGUUCGAUCUUAUUUUGUUGGUUUCUAGGAUUGACGUAAUGAUUAAUAGGGAUAGUUGGGGGCAUUAGUAUUCAAUUGUCAGAGGUGAAAUUCUUGGAUUUAUUGAAGACUAACUACUGCGAAAGCAUUUGCCAAGGAUGUUUUCAUUAAUCAAGAACGAAAGUUAGGGGAUCGAAGACGAUCAGAUACCGUCGUAGUCUUAACCAUAAACUAAUGCCGACUAGGGAUCGGAUGAUGUUAAUUUUUUAAUGACUCAUUCGGCGCCUUAA